CUUUUGCUUCUUCGUGUGCUCCUUGUUUUUCUUGGCCUCACGGCGCUCCCUCUUGAGCCCCUUGAUGUCGAAAAACAAAACAAACUCUUACCUGCUGGUCUGGAAUGUAGACCUUGCCCAACUUGCCCUGCACAGGAUCCUUCUGAUCAAUUGGUUUUACCUUCUUAGCAUGAUCGGCAGUCUUCAUUGCUUCCUUCUUCAAACUUUCAGCUGGAUAUCGGUGCCGCCUAACUACUAGGUCCAUCGAAGGUCCAACUUCAACCAGCUCCAUUCUAGGAAUAGAUGUGCCAGACCGUUUCAGACGGAGAGCACAGUGCAUCAAGUAGACAGUGGUAGGGGAUAUUGCUGUGCACACAAAUACCCGAUCUACACCGGCAAGAUUCAGAUUCUCUACCACCUACAUCAGUAGCAAACAGAUCAAGCAGCACUUCCUUCAAAUGCUUCAGCUCUUCAACACUUUCAAAAUGCUCCCCAAUGAAGGUAAAGAAAGGCUUUGAGCCAAGCUUAGGUGCCAGUUUCUUAUCAUAGACAUAUGAUUCAAUUUAUUUGUAGUUCUCAACUCCUACUUCAACAAGGUCAUAUAUAUGGUGAUCAUAAGUCCUUCCCAAAACAAGAUUGUUGGGCCUCUUCUUUGAAAUAAAUUGAACUUACUACAAUUAGGCUGCAAUCCGUCUUGAGUGAGAAGAACUCAAGCGAAGUUUCGCCGCCGCUCUCGAACGGCCUGAUGUUCUCAUUCUUCUUGGAGUACCUGACGGCAUUAUCACGCUUCAGGUGGAACAAAUCUGCGAGCACGGAGUUCAGCACCGCGCUGGUCUUGGUCCCAUGGAGAACAAGCGUCUUCUUGCCGGUCUCAACCUGGUUCAAUCA
rnacentral:sRNA from 1 species